rnacentral:rRNA from 1 species
CGGUUGAUCCUGCCGGACCCCACUGCUAUCGGGAUGGGACUAAGACAUGCUAGUCGUGCGUUUCCCAAGAUACAUGUUGAAGAAACGCGGCACACAGCUCAGUAACACGUGGCUAACCUGACCUUGGGACAAGGACAACCCCGGGAAACUGGGGCUAAUCCUUGAUAAGCGAGAAAUCCUGGAAUGGAUUCUCGCUCAAAAAACGCCUGAACCAUGCUUCAGGCGUUGCCCAAGGAAGGAGCCGCGGCCGAUCAGGUUGUUGGUGAGGUAACGGCUCACCAAGCCUUUAACCGGUACGGGCCGCGAGAGCGGAAGCCCGGAGAUGGGCACUGAGACAAGGGCCCAGGCCCUACGGGGCGCAGCAGUCGCGAAAACUCCGCAAUACACGAAAGUGUGACGGGGCCAUCCCGAGUGCCAUCCGCUGAGGAUGGCUUUUCCCUAGUGUACAAAGCUAGAGGAAUAAGGAGAGGGCAAGCCUGGUGUCAGCCGCCGCGGUAAUACCAGCUCUCCGAGUGGUGGGGACGCUUAUUGGGCCUAAAGCAUCCGUAGCCGGCCGGGCAAGUCCCCCGUUAAAUCCAACGAUUCAAUCGUUGGGCUGCGGGGGAUACUGCCCGGCUAGGGGGCGGGAGAGGCCGACGGUAUUCCCGGGGUAGGGGUGAAAUCCUAUAAUCCCGGGAAGACCACCAGUGGCGAAGGCUGUCGGCUAGAACGCGCCCGACGGUGAGGGAUGAAAGCUGGGGGAGCGAACCGGAUUAGAUACCCGGGUAGCCCCAGCUGUAAACGAUGCAGGCUAGGUGUUGGGGCGGCUACGUGCCGCUCCAGUGCCGCAAGGAAGCUGUUAAGCCUGCCGCCUGGGAAGUACGGCCGCAAGGCUGAAACUUAAAGGAAUUGGCGGGGGAGCAC